AUUGAACGCUGGCGGAAUGCUUUACACAUGCAAGUCGAACGGCAGCACGGACUUCGGUCUGGUGGCGAGUGGCGAACGGGUGAGUAAUGUAUCGGAACGUGCCCAGUCGUGGGGGAUAACGUAGCGAAAAUUACGCUAAUACCGCAUACGAUCUAUGGAUGAAAGCGGGGGAUCGCAAGACCUCGCGCGACUGGAGCGGCCGAUAUCAGAUUAGGUAGUUGGUGGGGUAAAGGCCCACCAAGCCAACGAUCUGUAGCUGGUCUGAGAGGACGACCAGCCACACUGGAACUGAGACACGGUCCAGACUCCUACGGGAGGCAGCAGUGGGGAAUUUUGGACAAUGGGCGAAAGCCUGAUCCAGCCAUUCCGCGUGCAGGAUGAAGGCCCUCGGGUUGUAAACUGCUUUUGUACAGAACGAAGAGGUUUCUACUAAUACUAGGAGCUCAUGACGGUACUGUAAGAAUAAGCACCGGCUAACUACGUGCCAGCCGCCGCAGUAA
rnacentral:rRNA from 1 species